CCUACGGGGGGCAGCAGUGGGGAAUAUUGGACAAUGGGCGAAAGCCUGAUCCAGCCAUGCCGCGUGUGUGAAGAAGGCCUUCGGGUUGUAAAGCACUUUCAGUGGGGAAGAAAGCCUUGGGGCUAAUACCCUCGAGGAAGGACAUCACCCACAGAAGAAGCACCGGCUAACUCCGUGCCAGCAGCCGCGGUAAUACGGAGGGUGCGAGCGUUAAUCGGAAUUACUGGGCGUAAAGCGCGCGUAGGCGGUCUGAUAAGCCGGUUGUGAAAGCCCCGGGCUCAACCUGGGAACGGCAUCCGGAACUGUCAGGCUAGAGUGCAGGAGAGGAAGGUAGAAUUCCCGGUGUAGCGAUGAAAUGCGUAGAGAUCGGGAGGAAUACCAGUGGCGAAGGCGGCCUUCUGGACUGACACUGACGCUGAGGUGCGAAAGCGUGGGUAGCAAACAGGAUUAGAUACCCCUGUAAGUC
rnacentral:rRNA from 1 species